rnacentral:rRNA from 1 species
GACGAACGCUGGCGGCGUGCUUAACACAUGCAAGUCGAGCGGUAAGGCCCUUUCGGGGGUACACGAGCGGCGAACGGGUGAGUAACACGUGGGUGACCUGCCCUCAGCUCUGGGAUAAGCCCGGGAAACUGGGUCUAAUACCGGAUAUGACUCCAUGACGCAUGUUGUGGGGUGGAAAGCCUUGUGCGGCUGAGGAUGGGCCCGCGGCCUAUCAGCUUGUUGGUGGGGUGAUGGCCACCAAGGCGACGACGGGUAGCGGGUGUGAGAGCACGGCCCGCCGCAUCGGGACUGAGACACUGCCCGGACUCCUACGGGAGGCUGCAGUAACGAAUCUUCCGCAAUUGCGCGAAAGCGUGACGGAGCAAUGCCGCGUGCAGGAUGAA